GCCAGGUCUGCUUUGAUAAGUAAAAU
rnacentral:piRNA from 1 species